rnacentral:rRNA from 1 species
GACAGAGCAGGCAAGCGUUGGUCGGAAUCAUUGGGCUUAAAGCGCGCGUAGGCGGCCUUGUAAGUGUCUUGUGAAAUCCCACGGCUCACCCGUGGAACUGCAGGGCAAACUGCAAGACUUGAGGUCGGUAGAGGCGCCUGGAACUCUAGGUGGAGCGGUGAAAUGCGUAGAUAUCUAGGGGAACGCCGGAGGCGAAAGUGGGGCGCUGGGCCGAUUCUGACGCUGAUGCGCGAAAGCGUGGGGAGCAAACAGG